rnacentral:rRNA from 1 species
GAUGAACGCUGGCGGCGUGCCUAAUACAUGCAAGUCGAGCGAACAGACGAGGAGCUUGCUCCUCUGACGUUAGCGGCGGACGGGUGAGUAACACGUGGAUAACCUACCUAUAAGACUGGGAUAACUUCGGGAAACCGGAGCUAAUACCGGAUAACAUGUUGAACCGCAUGGUUCAACAGUGAAAGACGGUUUUGCUGUCACUUAUAGAUGGAUCCGCGUCGCAUUAGCUAGUUGGUAAGGUAACGGCUUACCAAGGCAACGAUGCGUAGCCGACCUGAGAGGGUGAUCGGCCACACUGGAACUGAGACACGGUCCAGACUCCUACGGGAGGCAGCAGUAGGGAAUCUUCCGCAAUGGGCGAAAGCCUGACGGAGCAACGCCGCGUGAGUGAAGAAGGUCUUCGGAUCGUAAAACUCUGUUAUUAGGGAAGAACAAAUGUGUAAGUAACUAUGCACGUCUUGACGGUACCUAAUCAGAAAGCCACGGCUAGCUACGUG